UGUCUGUGGGAUUAACAUGAUUCAUCCUGACAUGGACCAACAACCACAAUGACAGAGCUGACCUUCUUCUAAUGUCUGCCAAUGACAGAUCUGAAGAUGGAAAAUACAUGAUACCCAUCCCUACUGACAUCUAACAGCUUCCCGUAAACAUCUCCCCACUGACACACAUCUCAUUCAUCAGUACUGAGCCAAGGAAUAGAGAUGGAGGGCCUUGGGUUUCAUCCCAAAUGGGGCCCUAUUCCCUUUAUAAUGGAUUGUUUUCUUCAAAAGUAGUGCAUGAAAUGUGGGAUGCAUCCUUGUAGAAAACUGUACAACGAGAGAUGAAAAUAUUUGAUUGUUCCCUUUAGAGAUGCAUAAUGGACAGCACUAGGGUAAUGAGAAUGAAGAGGUUGGGGUAGUGUGCUGCACAGGGUAAUGAGAAUGAAGAGGUUGGAGUAGUGUGCAGCACCAGGGUAAUGAGAAUGAAGAGGUUGGAGUAGUCUACAGCACAGGGUAAUGAGAAUGAAGAGGUUGGGGUAGUGUGCAGCACCAGGGUAAUGAGAAUGAAGUGGUUGGAGUAGUGUGCAGCACAGGGUAAUGAGAAUGAAGAGGUUGGAGUAGUGUGCAGCACCAGGGUAAUGAGAAUGAAGAGGUUGGAGUAGUGUGCAGCACAGGGUAAUGAGAAUGAAGAGGUUGGAGUAGUGUGCAGCACAGGGUAAUGAGAAUGAAGAGGUUGGGGUAGUGUGCAGCACUAGGGUAAUGAGAAUGAAGAGGUUGGGGUAGUGUGCAGAACUAGGGUAAUGAGAAUGAAGAGGUUGGAGUAGUGUGCAGGACAGGGUAAUGAGAAUGAAGAGGUUGGGGUAGUGUGCAGCACCAGGUAAUGAGAAUGAAGAGGUUGAGGUAGUCUGCAGCACAGGGUAAUGUGAUCCUGGACACACGCUGUUUACUCAUGGGCUAAGACUGUGUUGGACUAUUUUUGAAAUGAGCCGAGAAAAUAACCCAAUAUUGAAAAUAUUGUCUGGGCAGCUGCAAACUCACCUACAUAAUGCCGGGACUGGGGGUUAAGGACAGAAAGCUAUCAAUCAAGGAAGGUAUGAGUGUGUAUCACUCCUGUCAU
rnacentral:lncRNA from 1 species